rnacentral:rRNA from 1 species
AUUGAACGCUGGCGGAAUGCUUUACACAUGCAAGUCGAACGGCAGCACGGGGGCAACCCUGGUGGCGAGUGGCGAACGGGUGAGUAAUACAUCGGAACGUGCCCAGUCGUGGGGGAUAACUACGCGAAAGCGUAGCUAAUACCGCAUACGAUCUACGGAUGAAAGCGGGGGAUCGCAAGACCUCGCGCGAUUGGAGCGGCCGAUGGCAGAUUAGGUAGUUGGUGGGGUAAAGGCNCACCAAGCCGUCGAUCUGUAGCUGGUCUGAGAGGACGACCAGCCACACUGGGACUGAGACACGGCCCAGACUCCUACGGGAGGCAGCAGUAGGGAAUCUUGCGCAAUGGGCGAAAGCCCGACGCAGCCAUGCCGCGUGAAUGAUGAAGGUCUUAGGAUUGUAAAAAUUCUUUCACCGGGGAAGAU